rnacentral:rRNA from 1 species
AUGUGCCUACGGGGCGCAGCAGUGGGGAAUAUUGCACAAUGGGGGAAACCCUGAUGCAGCGACGCCGCGUGAGUGAGGAAGUAUUUCGGUAUGUAAAGCUCUAUCAGCAGGGAAGAAAAAAUGACGGUACCUGACUAAGAAGCACCGGCUAAAUACGUGCCAGCAGCCGCGGUAAUACGUAUGGUGCAAGCGUUAUCCGGAUUUACUGGGUGUAAAGGGAGCGCAGGCGGUACGGCAAGUCUGAUGUGAAAGCCCGGGGCGCAAGCCCGGUACUGAAUUGGAAACUAC